rnacentral:rRNA from 1 species
GACGAACGCUGGCGGCGUGCCUAAUACAUGCAAGUCGAACGCAGUGGGGACGGGUGCGUAACACGUGGGUAACCUCCCAUCAGAGGGGAUAACACUUGGCAACAGGUGCUAAACCGAUAUUGGUGGAUGGACCCGCGGGGCAUUAGCUAGUUGGUGAGGUAACGGCUCACCAAGGCCACGAUGCAUAGCCGACCUGAGAGGGUGAUCAGCCACACUGGGACUGAGACACGGUCCAGACUCCUACGGGAGGCAGCAGUAGGGAAUCUUCGGCAAUGGACGAAAGUCUGACCGAGCAACGCCGCGUGAGUGAAGAAGGUUUUCGGAUCGUAAAGCACUUUUGUUAGAGAAGCGUUAUCUAACCAGAAAGCCCCGGCUAACUACGUGCCAGCCGCCGCGGUAAUAC